GACGAACGCUGGCGGCGUGCUUAACACAUGCAAGUCGAACGGAAAGGCCCUGCUUUUGUUGGGUGCUCGAGUGGCGAACGGGUGAGUAACACGUGAGUAACCUGCCCUUGACUUUGGGAUAACUUCAGGAAACUGGGGCUAAUACCGGAUAGGAGCUCCUGCUGCAUUGUGGGGGUUGGAAAGUUUCGGCGGUUGGGGAUGGACUCGCGGCUUAUCAGCUUGUUGGUGGGGUAGUGGCUUACCAAGGCUUUGACGGGUAGCCGGCCUGAGAGGGUGACCGGCCACAUUGGGACUGAGAUACGGCCCAGACUCCUACGGGAGGCAGCAGUGGGGAAUAUUGCACAAUGGGCGGAAGCCUGAUGCAGCAACGCCGCGUGCGGGAUGACGGCCUUCGGGUUGUAAACCGCUUUCGCCUGUGACGAAGCGUGAGUGACGGUAAUGGGUAAAGAAGCACCGGCUAACUACGUG
rnacentral:rRNA from 1 species